rnacentral:rRNA from 1 species
AACGAACGCUGGCGGCAUGCCUAACACAUGCAAGUCGAACGAGACCUUCGGGUCUAGUGGCGCACGGGUGCGUAACGCGUGGGAGCCUGCCCUUAGGUUCGGAAUAACUCCCCGAAAGGGGUGCUAGUACCGGAUAAUGUCUUCGGACCAAAGAUUUAUCGCCUUUGGAUGGGCCCGCGUUGGAUUAGCUAGUUGGUAGGGUAAAAGCCUACCAAGGCGACGAUCCUUAGCUGGUCUGAGAGGAUGAUCAGCCACACUGGGACUGAGACACGGCCCAGACUCCUACGGGAGGCAGCAGUGGGGAAUAUUGGACAAUGGGCGAAAGCCUGAUCCAGCAAUGCCGCGUGAGUGAUGAAGGCCUUAGGGUUGUAAAGCUCUUUUACCCGGGAUGAUAAUGACAGUACCGGGAGAAUAAGCUCCGGCUAACUCCGUG